GCCUCAGUCGUUCAACGGAUAGGACGGCGGUCUUCGGAACCGCUAAUGAGGGUUCGAUUCCUUCCUGAGGCA
rnacentral:tRNA from 1 species